UACAUGGGGUGCAAACGUUGCUCGGAAUUAUUGGGCGUAAAGCGCACGUAGGCGGUCUGGUGCGUCGGUGCUGAAAGCGCCGGGCUUAACCCGGCGAGGCGUGCCGAUACGACCAGACUCGAGGCAGGCAGAGGGUGGCGGAAUUCCGGGUGUAGUGGUGAAAUGCGUAGAGAUCCGGAGGAACGCCGGUGGUGCAGACGGCCACCUGGGCCUGUCCUGACGCUGAGGUGCGAAAGCGUGGGGAGCGAACCGG
rnacentral:rRNA from 1 species